rnacentral:lncRNA from 1 species
GAGUCAAGUUCCUCGUUAGGGAGCUGGUAUUUGAGAUAAAACGGACGGUUGCCGUAAAGGGAACGGGAAAGAUGGGCAGUAAGGGCGGAGAGGGACGCGGCGGUGGUACGACGGUCAACGGAGACGACACGGUUGUCCCCGCCGGCGUAGCAGAGGGAUUUAUCGUGGGGACGUUGAACUAUAUGCCCACCGUAGCUGCAUAAAAGGCGGACCUUGGUGGUGGAAGUAGGAAGAGGUGGCAGGUCCAAGAGGGAAUCCGUGGUGGUAGACGGCGGAGCCGGCGGAGGUGGGUCCAUUUAGGCGUAAAUGGUGGCGGGGGA